rnacentral:tRNA from 1 species
GGGGAGGUACCAAAGCGGUCAAAUGGGACGGAUUGUAAAUCCGUUGGCUCUGUCCUUCAGAGGUUCGAAUCCUCUUCUCCCCACCA